CGAACGGGUGAGUAACACGUGGGCAACCUGCCCAAAAGAGGGGGAUAACACCUGGAAACAGGUGCUAAUACCGCAUAACCAUAGUUACCGCAUGGUAACUAUGUAAAAGGUGGCUAUGCUACCGCUUUUGGAUGGGCCCGCGGCGCAUUAGCUAGUUGGUGGGGUAAAGGCUUACCAAGGCAAUGAUGCGUAGCCGAACUGAGAGGUUGAUCGGCCACAUUGGGACUGAGACACGGCCCAAACUCCUACGGGAGGCAGCAG
rnacentral:rRNA from 1 species